UGGGGUUUUUAUAUGGGGUUUUUUACCGCUCAGAUUGAACGCUGGCGGCAGGCCUAACACAUGCAAGUCGAACGGUAACAGGAAACAGCUUGCUGUUUCGCUGACGAGUGGCGGACGGGUGAGUAAUGUCUGGGAAACUGCCUGAUGGAGGGGGAUAACUACUGGAAACGGUAGCUAAUACCGCAUAACGUCGCAAGACCAAAGAGGGGGACCUUCGGGCCUCUUGCCAUCGGAUGUGCCCAGAUGGGAUUAGCUAGUAGGUGGGGUAACGGCUCACCUAGGCGACGAUCCCUAGCUGGUCUGAGAGGAUGACCAGCCACACUGGAACUGAGACACGGUCCAGACUCCUACGGGAGGCAGCAGUGGGGAAUAUUGCACAAUGGGCGCAAGCCUGAUGCAGCCAUGCCGCGUGUAUGAAGAAGGCCUUCGGGUUGUAAAGUACUUUCAGCGGGGAGGAAGGGAGUAAAGUUAAUACCUUUGCUCAUUGACGUUACCCGCAGAAGAAGCACCGGCUAACUCCGUGCCAGCAGCCGCGGUAAUACGGAGGGUGCAAGCGUUAAUCGGAAUUACUGGGCGUAAAGCGCACGCAGGCGGUUUGUUAAGUCAGAUGUGAAAUCCCCGGGCUCAACCUGGGAACUGCAUCUGAUACUGGCAAGCUUGAGUCUCGUAGAGGGGGGUAGAAUUCCAGGUGUAGCGGUGAAAUGCGUAGAGAUCUGGAGGAAUACCGGUGGCGAAGGCGGCCCCCUGGACGAAGACUGACGCUCAGUGCGAAAGAGCGACC
rnacentral:rRNA from 1 species